rnacentral:rRNA from 1 species
GACGUACUUGUACUGAUUGAGAUUUUAACACGAAGUGAGUGGCGAACGGGUGAGUAACACGUGGGUAACCUGCCCAGAAGUAGGGGAUAACACCUGGAAACAGAUGCUAAUACCGUAUAACAGAGAAAACCGCAUGGUUUUCUUUUAAAAGAUGGCUCUGCUAUCACUUCUGGAUGGACCCGCGGCGUAUUAGCUAGUUGGUGAGGUAAAGGCUCACCAAGGCAGUGAUACGUAGCCGACCUGAGAGGGUAAUCGGCCACAUUGGGACUGAGACACGGCCCAGACUCCUACGGGAGGCAGCAGUAGGGAAUCUUCCACAAUGGACGCAAGUCUGAUGGAGCAACGCCGCGUGAGUGAAGAAGGGUUUCGGCUCGUAAAGCUCUGUUGUUAAAGAAGAACGUGGGUAAGAGUAACUGUUUACCCAGUGACGGUAUUUAACCAGAAAGCCACGGCUAACUACGUGCCAGCAGCCGCGGUAAUACGUAGGUGGCAAGCGUUAUCCGGAUUUAUUGGGCGUAAAGCGAGCGCAGG